rnacentral:rRNA from 1 species
AUUGAACGCUGGCGGCAUGCCUAACACAUGCAAGUCGAACGGCAGCACGGUCUAGCUUGCUAGACUGGUGGCGAGUGGCGCACGGGUGAGUAAUGCGUAGGAAUAUGCCUUGAAGUGGGGGAUAACUUGGGGAAACUCAAGCUAAUACCGCAUAAUCUCUAAGGAGGAAAGCUGGGGACCUUCGGGCCUGGCGCUUUAAGAUUAGCCUACGUCCGAUUAGCUAGUUGGUAGGGUAAAGGCCUACCAAGGCGACGAUCGGUAGCUGGUCUGAGAGGAUGAUCAGCCAAACUGGGACUGAGACACGGCCCAGACUCCUACGGGAGGCAGCAGUGGGGAAUAUUGGACAAUGGGGGCAACCCUGAUUCAGCGAUGCCGCGUGUGUGAAGAAGGCCUACGGGUUGUAAAGCACUUUCGGUGGGGAGGAGGAUUCAUAGGUUAAGAGCUAAUGGAUUGGGCGUUACCCACAAAAGAAGCACCGGCUAACUCCGUGCCAGCCGCCGCCGUAAAAC